rnacentral:rRNA from 1 species
AUUGAACGCUGGCGGCAGGCCUAACACAUGCAAGUCGAACGAGUGGCGGACGGGUGAGUAAUGUCUGGGAACCUGCCCGAUGGAGGGGGAUAACUACUGGAAACGGUAGCUAAUACCGCAUACCAUCGGAUGUGCCCAGAUGUGAUUAGCUAUUAGGUGGGGUAACGGCUCACCUAGGCGACGAUCCCUAGCUGGUCUGAGAGGAUGACGAGGGAAACGGGAAAUGAGACAAGGUGCAAACGCCUAAGGGAGGCAGCAGGGGGGAAUAGUGAACAAUGGGCGAAAGCCGGAUGGAGCGAUGCAGCGUGUAUGAGGAGGGCCUGCAGGUUGUAAAGUACUUUCAGCGAGGAGGCGUUACUCGCAGAAGAAGCACCGGCUAACUCCGUGCCAGCAGCCGCGGUAAUAC